GUCGGGGAGGGGGUUCAAGGUGUGGCCGCGAGGGCGAGCGUGGGGGAUUGGGUAUGAGCUCUCGAGGGCGGGGACUCUGCUCUGUGUCCCCUGAGGAGGUCCAGCCUUGUUAUAGAUGGAUACCUGUGACCAAGCAUUGCAAGUUAAAGAUAUUUCUGAAUCUUGGACCUCUUAGUUCCUGUGAAGCCCACCAAUGCAUAAUAAAGCAGAGAGGAAUGUAAAAGGUUGCUGCAUCGAUAAUCAACUUCUGGUGAGCAGUAAUUACAGGUACUGUAAAAUGAGACAAUUAUUGCUUUUCAUCAUAUCUUGAACGAACUCCUACAGUCGAUGAUUUUGAACAAAACACCUAAGUUCACUCUCCUCUUUUCUAUAAUGAAAAGACAUUAUCCAGUAGAAGUUCAAGAGUAAAAUCUGAAGGCAACUUAUCUGACCUGGCCACAUGGCCUUGCCACUUAUUCAACAUAACUUUCUACACACUAACCUCUCCAGACCUCAGAUCUUCAACUCUCUAAAAUGGAAACAUAGUGGUAUUUACCUCUAGAACUGCAGCUGAACUGAGCAUUUUAGGGAAGGAACAAACACACACAUGAUAGAUAUAGUCAGAUUAUGAACCCAGUGUAGCCCAGAAUACAGAAAUUUCUCAGUAAUAGAGAUCCUCAAGAGAAGAAUCAGAUGUAGCCUAUCUCAGUGGCCUUUCAUGUGGCAAAUGAAAAGUGAAAGUCCAUAAUGAGAAAGACAUGGGCAGCCAGUGACACCAUCCAUUCAAUGUAGACUCUCAACAUACCUGACAGUCGUUACCUGUUAUACCCCAAGCCAAAACAUACAUAAACCUCAAGCCUCAGUCAGAAAUAUUUAUGGACAACCAGGUAUAUUAUUCUGUGUUUCCAGUCAAAACUCAGGUAGACCACAUUUUACGUGACAGGAGAAGGCACAGUUGAUGCCCAGUUAACCCUGAGAUCAUCUCUGCCUGCAGCUUCCUAUCAUCACAGCAAGCUCUUUCCCUGCAGUGCAUUGUCUGUAUCUGCCCUUUGCUAUAUAAGUAGCAAAAAUAAGCAUCUGAAAAGAUGCUCAACUAGGGAAUUCACUGUGUCACUAGGGAAUUCAAAAUUCAAAAAUUCACAUUCAAUAUGUCACUAGGGAAUUCAAAUUAAAACAACGAUGAGACACCGCUACACAUCUAUUAGAUUGGCUCAAAUCCAAACACUGACACCACCAAAUGCUGGUGAGGAUAUGGAGCAACAGGAACUCUCGUUGAUUGCUG